rnacentral:lncRNA from 1 species
GUGCUCACAGUGGGGUGAUGACAUGGGAGCCGUGGGUAUGGUGUGAAAAAGAGAGAGAUAAGAUAUGGCCGGAGGGGGGAACGCCGGUUUCGGAAAGGAGUGUCGGCCGACAGUGGAGUCGUCGGUGGUGAGAAGGGCCGCCGUCGUGGGUAUGAUGGUGUGGAGAGAGAAGAGAAAUAGAGAGAGGGAAGAGAAAGGUGGCCUGUGGGUGUGAGGAAAAGAAGAAAAGAGAGAAAAUGGGGAGGAAAUGAGGGUGAGUGGAAUUGUCGCGGGGAUCAGAGAGAGAGAAGGAGGAGGGGGGUUUUAAAUCUCCAACAAAGUAUUUUUAAAAAUAAAUAUAAAUCUUAAUUAUAAAAUCCAAUUAUAUAAAUCCUAAAUAAAAAAUCUAGUUGUAUAUGAUUGUGUAGACCCCCGAGGAGCUGGAGCUUUCUUUUAUGAUUAUUUUUUGCUGUUUUUCUGACGGCCUCUCAAGUGGGCUGCUCUCGGGCGGCUGGGACGGGAUACGGACAUGGCUUGGGGAGGAAGCUAAAGAAAAACAGAGGAGAAAGAAGAGAGAGGGGGAGACUGAGAAAGAAGAGAGAGGGGGAGACUGAGAAAAAAAGGGGCGGGGGAAGGUUUUUUUUUAGAAGAGGCUUUCCAGGUACGAACCCCAUAUUCACCAUUGUCCCUGUUUGUUAUUUUCUCUACUUUGUCUCUAGAUAUUAUUGUUUGUUUCAUAUCAGGCCAUAUUGUUAGCUUUCCUUGAUCUCUACCAUGGAUUUGUGAUCAUUAUUUUAUCAUCUUUCCCUCUUGGUUUUGUUGAAGAGCAAGCCGACUCUGUUUUUAGCUUCACUAUGAAAUAUCUCAGCAUUCACUCCCAUAUUUUUGUAUGAACCUAUGGUCUUUCAAUCCGUUAGCAAGCUUGUUGAAUGAAGCAUGAAACGGGUUUUGCACGUUUUUUUAUUUAUUUAUUUUAUUAUUCCCAUUUUUGGUACUCUGUUCUUGCCGUUUCCUCUGUUAUUGGAGGUGCAAAUGUCCCUGCAAUGAAUGAUCUUUUGGCACCAUUUGAGAUUGUUUUUGGAAGAUGAGAUACCCAAUGGUGAUUUUUCUAUUGACGGUGAGCACGGUCACUACGCAGUUGGAAUAGAUAUUGUAAGGUUACCCAACCAAGGAAGACGCAAAGGAGACUUAUUUUUAACGGGACAUGAUGUCGCUCCUCUUUAUUGUUAUGCUGGGAAUAACAGGGUCCAAAUGAAGAUCCCAAGGGUAUUAUGUGCUGAUGGUAUUUGUGUUUUUAUGCUCAGUUUGUUGUUGGCAUUCCCUGCUUGCACGUGAUGCAUGCAUGCAUGGCCAUAUGGAACAUUUCAUCUUCCAUCUUCUCAAGAACCCAUCAUUCAUACCCAUUUCAUAAUUCCUAUUCACCAUUUUCCCAUCACCUUCAUAUCUAUAUUCCUAUUACUCAUAUUAUAUGUUCCACCGCUUCUCGUUUUAUAUCACUCAUCCCAUGCAUGCACCCAUAGCCAUCAAACCCAUUGUUUCAUACCCAUUUUCCUUCCCAUCACCCUUUCUCUCACUAGCUCGUUCCAUAUCACUCAUCCCAUGCAUGCACCCAUAGCCAUCAAACCCAUUGUUUCCUACCCAUUUUCCUUCCCAUCACCCUUUCUCUCACUAGCUCGUUCCAUAUCACUCAUCCCAUGCAUGCACCCAUAGCCAUCACCCUUCAUACCCAUGCAAACCAUCCAUUUUCAUACCCGGCUACCCACCAUACCCAUGCUAUGCUCAUCUCCAUAGGAAUCCCAAAGCCACCCACCUACAUGCAUGGGAAUCGUGCAUGCAUGGCCACCCCCCAUGGUUGCCAUUCAUCAACACAUACCCAUGCUAACCUCCAUACCCGUAUCCUCCAUGCCCUCAUGUAUAUCACCACCCUCCCAUGCAUAACUAUCCUCCACUUACCCAUUUUUCUUCUUCUUACCACAUUUCUCUCUCUACACCACCACCACUACCAAACCCUCAUUUUCUCACUAACUAACUCCCUUUCUACUCCCUACCCGGUUAUCUCUCUACACCACAUACCCAUUUUCCAAAUACCCAUCAACCCACCUUUCUUGGCCCACUUCCAAAGCCCACUAAACUUAUUUUCUUGCACAAUGGAUUGGAGAAGCCCAAGGCCCGUGAGUGCAUUUUGAAGGUUUGAAGGCCUUUCUCCAUCUUAGGGUCAUCUCAAAGUGCAUUUUGAAGCCCAGGCCCAUGAGCAUCAUUUUAAAUUUUCUCUCCACCUUGGCCCAUUCCUAAAUGCUCCCAUUCACCCUUGGCCCAUUUCCAAAGCCCUCAAAUUUUAAAAGUUGAUUUAUGGAAAUCUAGCACCCAAAUAAUUUUAUCUUACAAAUUUUCAUCUUUAAAUAAUCCUUUAAAAAUUCCGAUUCUAAAUUUAAUUUCUAAUUUCAAAAAUUUCACUAUUUACGUUCAUCUAUUUAAUUAUUGUUUUCAUUAUUAUUAUUAUUAUUAUUAUUAUUAUUAUUAUUAUUCCACUUAUUUAUUUAUUUUUUAUUAUUAUUAUCAUUUUACCUAUUUAUUUUUAAAAAAAAAUUACACAUUCAAAUAAUUUCCAAUAUUUAAAUUUUUUAUAAUUUAACUUUCAUAGUUUCUACUUCCUAAAUAAUUUCCAAAAUUAUGCUCUCUUUCGAAUCUAAUCCCUAAAAUCCCAAUUCUUAAAUUUAAAUUUUCAAAACUCCAAUACUUAAAUAAUUUACUAAUUGCUUUCAAAUUUAAUUCCCAAAAUCCCAAUUUCUAAAUUUAAUUUUCAAAACUCCAAUUCUCAAACAAUUUACUAAUUUCUUUCAAAUUUAAUUUCCAAAAUUCCUUAAAUUUAAAUUUUCAAAACUUCAAUCCUUAAAUAAUUUACUAAUUGCUUUCAAAUUUAAUUCCCAAAAUUCCAAUUUCUAAAUUUAAUUUUCAAAACUCCAAUUUUCAAACAAUUUACUAACUUCUUUCAAAUUUAAUUUCCAAAAUUCCAAUUCUUAAAUUCAAUUCCCAAGACUCCAAUUUUCAAAUAAAUUUCAAGAAAAUCUAGUUUUCUUUCCAAUAGUCUUAAUUCCAUUCUGGUCUUCAAACAAUCUUCUGCUCCUCUUGUUUUUAAUAAGCGUGAAUGCAAUUUUCAUAAUUCCUAAAUAAUGGAAUUUGUGAUAUUAAUUCAUGCAAGAUUAAUCGGGUUUUGGUGGGGGCCUCACGUACAUGAUCUUAUGAUCUAUUGAUUGAUUGACUUGGUUAUCAUACAUGAUUUAUUUAUCCUGCUCUCCGACAUGCAUGCUAUUAUUUCUUAAUUGUGCACUAACCUCUCUCUUGAUAGCGCAUGGUGGCUCGUCGCCCAGGUACGCACCUACUUUCACUCUGGUAAUUGUCCAAGCAUAUUUUGAUUCUCACGUGUGCAUGAUUUAUUCUGGGUACUCAUCGAUCUACUCGUCCUGCUAUGAUUGCCUCAUUUUAUUAGUAGAGACCCGUUUUUAGAGACUUAGAAGGGUGCUAUGGUUUUUACCGUACCUUCCUAAUAAGUAACCUAACCCCCGAACCCGAUCCCGUUUUUCACAGACCACCUCUUCCAAAGUAAGGAGUCACAUUUAGGGUUUUUCUUUCUUAUUUUGUUUACCCUUUAAAAAUAAAACAAAAAUAAGUUGCGACUCCAAGUCAUUUUCGAAUAAUCAAUAAAUCAAUUUUUCAAAUAAAAUCGAGUUCGCCAUCGAGUGGAAAACGCACGAGCCGAAAAUAUGGGGUCCACAGAUUGCUAAAUAUCAAAUGCACUCUAAUAUAUAAAGGAAAUUUAUUAUUAUUUUUAAUUAUCUUCUCAAUGCACAUACAUGCUAAUUUUCACUUUCAAAUUAAAAUUAGACUAAAAUAUUUUUGAAGUUUGGUAUGAUUUUAUUUUUUUAUUUUUCUAAAAAAGGGUUGGACUUUUGUUUUGAUUUUCAAAAUAGUUUUUUUAUUCUUAGAAAAGGAAAAUAAUUUUGUAAACUUGUAAAAAAUAAAGUCAAACAAUAGGCCUUUUUAUAAAUAAAUAAAUAAAAAUCUUUGAUCAUUUUUAAAAAUUAUUGUAUAGAUGAGCUAAAAAGUACAUAAAUAAACCACUUUUCUUCUUUUAAGUCUCUAUUUAUUGUAAGUCACUUGUAAUAAUAAAAAGUUAAAAUUUAAUAAAAGUGUUCUACAUUAUUAAAACUUAAAAAAAUGAAUUUUCUAAAAUAAGAUUAAAAAAAACAUAUCUAUUCCAUUUGAAUUGCUCUCUACCUAUUUUAUCAUAGCAUGUUACAAAUUAAUUAGGUAAUGGUGAAAAAUUGCUAAAGAGUACUUAUUUUACUAUAAUUUUCUUCUAUUUAAAUUUUUAUUUUUGAUAUUAUUUAAUAAUAAAUAUAAUGAAAUUAAUGAUCAUAUAUAUUGACAUUUAGUUUUCUUAUUUAACUUAAAAUAAUUGGUCAUAUUCCUUUUUUUUUAAUUCCCCUAUUUUUUUAUUAUUUAUUUUGUAGUUCAACUACUAAAUAAAAUUUAUGAAUAAAUCAUUGUUGAAUAUAUAAAAUGUUACUCCUAUAUCAUAAUAUUUUUUUUCUCUUUGUUUUUUAGACUUGAAAUUAAGUCGUAUAAUAAAUUAAUAAAUUUUAUACAAAAUAUAUAUACAUUUUUUUUUGUUUAAGUAUAUGAUAGAAUAAUUGUCUUUCAUUAUCUACUAAUUUCAAUGAUAAGAUAUCAAACGUAAAUAUAUAAAUAUUCUUUAUAUAUCACUAUUUCCAAUUCAUAUGCAAUCUUUUAUUAUUUUUAUUUAAAAUUUUCAAUAAUUAUGGGUUAAGGUGCACAAACACACAAAUAGAUUGAACUCAUUGAGAAGAGGGCCCAUGGGUUUACCCUUCGGUUGGCCCAUUGAGUUGAAUAACUCUCUUUAAUUAUAGGCUUUUAGCCCAUUAGGGUUGAGGUGGGUAUAUACCAUAUUUUACAAUUUUUCUGUUAAAUAGUGAUGCAAAGCAUGGAAAAUUACAAAAGAGAGGAGAGCAAAGGAAGAACUUCAAUGGUAAUACUAACGGAACAUCAAGAAAUUUAUUGUAUGUUGAUCACAAAGUACAUGUACUCUAGCUUCUACAUUUCAUUAAACUUUUCUUACAAGGGAGAUGACCAAAUUAAUAUACUUAGCCCUUGUCUUUGCCAAGUGAUCGCCCACCAUCUCACCGUACCUUUGAAAUAAACCAUCCAUUACAUCUCCUCCAAAAUGGCUUGCUAGCAUGGACUCAACCACAGCUCUAAUUGUCUUAGCCACUCGUGCUCCAUUUGAUAGCGUUGAGGACGUGGGAGUUGCAUCAUAAUUAUCACCAUCACCCCCAUCCCAAUCUAUUUCAAACAUUUCCAGCCGAUCUAAGAUGAAUGACCCCUCUUUGUAUAUUCCAAAUUUCACUUCUUCCGGACUUGGUGCAUAGUAUGGAGCAUCGAAUGAAUCAACCUUUUUCUCUUCGAUUAGACCCUGCAUUUAGGAGAAAUAUGUUCUAUUUAAUUUUGGCAAUCGACCCUCACAAAUUUAAAUAAUAUCAUACAAACUUCUCUUUUUUCGAUAAACUGGAAAACCUUAUGAUGUCAAAUUUUUUACUGAAGGAAUGAGUAAAAUGCAUGAAUGAACAUGUUAUGAAAUUCAUCAAGUUGUUAAAAAGGUAUUUAAUAUGACUUAAUGACUUAAUUUAAGUCAUAAAUAAAUUAAACAUAUUUUAUAAAAUAAUUUAAUAAUCAUAACUUAAAGUUAAAAAUAACUUCAAGUAUUAAAUUAAAAUAAUGAACUUAUCUUUAAUCUUAAAUUUCUUUUAACUCAUUUUUUUCAUAUCUAGUGAGACUAAAUUUUAAUUGAGACUCCACAUGCACAACUUAUUUUUAAAGUUAAAAUAUAACUUUAAAUAUUAAGUUAUAAUAAUUAACUUAUUCUUAAUUUUUUACCUCAUUUUUAUAUAACUAAUGAGAAUAUAUUUUAUAAUUAUUGACUCAUUUUUUUAUAUUAAAUACUUUAUGAUUUGCCUCAUAUAGCAAAAAAAAAAUUAUUACUUAUAAAAAUUAAUAAAAAUAAAUAAUAAUAAAAAAUGGUGAUAGUAAAUAUAUUCUAUGAUGAUUUAAAAUAAAUUUUAAGUUGAAUUAUAUCUUAAAAUAAAAAUAAGUAUUAUAUGAUAAAUUAAAUCAAUAAUUUAAUUUAAAAUUAAUUGAAAUGAUCAAAUAAUAUGCAUUAAUUAAUUUUAUCCUCAACCUCUCCAAAUGAUAAGAGGCAGGCAAGAUUGAGAGGGGCUAGAAAAAAUCGGGUAGAUUUUUUUAGCAUUAGUAGGUAGGGUUAUGGUAGACGAGUGGUCCCAAGUGAGAGGGAUAAUUGGUGCCACCAACUGACCAACCUCAACAGCCCUCGUGGAGACUGUGAACACAACACACAGUGCGACCACAAAUGCAGAUUAUGCUGUGAUUCUGUCUGGUUUAGAGCUUCCAUCCGCUUCUCCACAAUGAAAGAUGAAAAAAGACAAAAAAAAAAAAUGGGGGGAAGGAAGAAGUUCGAUUGAAUAGAUAUAUAUACCUCCGAAACCAUGCUCAUGAGUGCUCGGGCUAUGAGCUCCCACUGGUAGCAACUCUCUUUUGAACGAGGGUCUGUGGAUCUCCUGCCCAUGAAGGACAACACCAUGCGUCCUCCCCCCACUAUUUCUUCUGCACGUGACUUGAGAAACACUGACCAGUCCUUCUGGAACUGCGAUGAGUAUGCCUCCAAAACGCAAUCUGGACUCGUCUUUGAUAUGUAAAUUUUUCCCUUGUUCCAGCUCCCUCUCCCAUCCUUGCUCUCUAGACCCGGUGGAACCUGCAAAUAAAUGUUCAUCCUUUCUUUUCUCAGUAUAAUUCACGUAGGGCUUCCUCGUAUGUGAGGGAGUACUUGCCCCCAAAUCAGUUACAUUUAAUAAAAAAAGAAAAGAAAAAAAGAUCGGAAAAAGAAAAACAGAGAAGAGAGAAAAAAAAAAAAACAUCUACCCAGAUUUCAUCAAUAAGUCAAUCCCAUUUCAUCUAUGGUCCGAUCCAGUUGAAAUUUAAAGGAGAGAUUUGAAACUCGAAUAGCUACAAUCUGAAUGGUGGAAAUCAGAUUUUGAGUUCGGAAAUUGGUGUUGCUGCCCGUGAACAGUAACAGUGUUUUUUUGUUUACUUUCCUCAAUUUUUCUUUGUUUCUCUUGUCAAGAGAGAUUAUAUAAUCCGAUGUUAUAUGUGCUCUUGAUAUAUUUGGUAAUCUUUAGUGAUUAUUUUAGAGAAAACAGGUGCAACUCAUUAUUGUUUAUAGUCAAAGUUUGAAUCGUACUAUGUCUUAUGAUUUUUUCUUUCAUACAAAAGGUUUUCCAUAUAAAAAUUAUGGUAUCUGUUUUAUUUUUCUAUUGCAUGAAUUUAUUUAUUUAUUACUACUAGUUAUUAUUGUCUAUUUAAUUUUACACAAAGAAAUUAUAUAAAAAUCCUGAUAUUUAUUGGAAUAUUGUGAUUUCACCCUAACAAUUCAAGAGAUAGGUCUUGUUAAAUUGUAAUCAUUAUCUUAGAAUAAUGUUAUUUUUCUAUCUCAAUUGUAUCACAUCUAAAUGUUGAAAUAGUGAUUGAAUACAUUCAAAGAAAAUUAGUUAUUAAUAUGUAUUGAAUGGGAUAAAAGCGAUUAAUAUAAAAUGGCAAACAACAAACAUUUAAACAAUUGGGUAAAAAUGGAAGAGAAUAGCAUUACUCAGGGUGAGAGGGAAGAGUAAUACUAUUCAUGGCCAGGGGAGGAUUGAUUUUAGCGCUGUCUCUUCAAAAGGAACAAGCUGUUGAAGGUUGAGGGAGAGAGAACACAUAUUGAAUAUAUGGUCCUUCUACAGACGGGCAUGGUGGCUCCUGGGAACCGGUUCAUAUACCAGUCUAGACCAUGGUCGGUGUUUUUCUAAGUUGGGUCAAAGGAGAAUAAAUAUAAGGAAAUACAAACAAACCUGAGAGAGCCAGUGGAGACUGGAAGAAGAGUGCACGAAAUGGAGACUCUUGCUUGGGAACACCCUCCCGUAAAAUGAACCAGGCACACCCGAUAUAAAACAUGGCCCAAACUCGGAGCCUUUCUCUUCCUUGAGUCUGUUGUAAAAUGCAGGGAGUGAGCCAAACACAUUGUUGAAGUCAUUGCCGAUGAGAUCAUUCAAGUACACCCUAAACUCAGGCGAACAAGGACGACCCAGCUGCUGCCAUUUGGCAUAUAUCACGUCCAGUAUCUCUGACACCACCAACAAGGCGUUGGGUCCAGAUGAGCAACCCAAAUCCGCAAUGCCUACGCUCUCAGGCAAGACAUUGUUGAAUAUAUCUAGUAUAGCUUCCUCCGUCACUGGUUUCGCUGUGGAUAUAAUGUUGCUCUGCAAAAAAAAAUUGAAUAAACAGCUAUGAGCUUUUCUCGAUCUAAAGCAAAAAGAGAAGAGAUAUAUAAGCAGCAGAAAUCACAAAAAAAUUGGCAAUCUGGGAAUACAUUAAUAUUUUCUUUGUGUGGGGUUCAACAUUUCUUGCUAGCUAUGGUUCUGUCAACUUUCUAUGUAUGCCUACUCCAUUUACUAAAAGUACUGGGAAUCAUAAAAAUCAUAUAAUCUUACAAGGAUGAAACUAAUCAACCUGAACUGUGGAGUUGGUUGCGUAACUUGUCUCCCCAGCCCCUUUGUUCAUAUGGAGUACUUGCAUCACUUCCAUCUCUCUCCACACAAUACAAACUCAAUUGCAAUGAAGAAUUUUAGUCUAAAGACUGGAAAAUCCGGAUAGAAACUUAAAUGGAAAGCAUAGAAGGGAGGUGCUUUAUAUACAAGUCAGGUAGCAAGUAUGCUGAAUGAUUUGCUAACCUCCGAUAAAAUCUAGAAACCUAGCUAUCCUGCCAUAACCAACCAAAGCUAGCCAUCUACAAAAUAUGUGGUUUUCGAUAACCUCCUGUGGAUCCCGUUGACCAGCGCGCCGCCCGUAACAUGACAACCACAUCCUUAUUUGUUGGGUUCCUUUCCUCAUUAUUCACGUACUUGCCUUUUAAGAGAGCCAACCCCACACACCCUAACAAAAUAUUUGACCAGCCAUAAAAAAGAUUUGGUUUUUCUAUUUGAAAAUUUCAGCUAUCACCGGCCGGAUUUUUUCUCCUAAGUUCUCUUCCAAUGGUUGACUUGUGCCAUUUAUCACAUUUAUCACAUUUCUCCUAAGGUCUCUUCCAAUGGUUGACUGCAUCUAAGUCUUGGGAAUGGGGGACUUGUGCCAUUUAUCACAUUUAUCACAUUUCUCCUAAGUUCUCUUCCAAUGGUUGACUGCAUCUAAGUCUUGGGAAUGGGGGACUUGUGCCAUUUAUCACAGCCCUGCAGGCACCAUUUGGCAUAUAUGACGUUCAAUAUCUCUGAUAUCACCAAUAAGGCGUUGGGUCCAGAUGAGCAUCCCAAAUCCCCAAUGCCUAUGCUGUCUGCAGACAAGUGCUUGCUCAACAUGUCUAGUAUAGCUUCCUCAGUUAUGCGCUUCCCAGCAGAUAUAAUGUUGCUCUACAAAAGGGAAAACAUUUUCUCUUCCAAUUGAUUAAACAUUUAUGUCUUGUCUACUUACCUUCCACAUUCUAGCAUUAAAAGAAUCGAUCUCAAAAAAUGAAAGGAAUCGAUCUUUGAUAAACACACGGGACAGUAAAGCAAUUAAUGAGAAGUACGUAACAUAUGAUAGAUUCAUAGAAUACAUAAUAGUAUAAGAAUGGAACUCCACCUGAACCGACGAGUUCUUUGCAUAACUGGUCUCCCCAGAUCCGGCGUUCAUGUGAAGCGUUUGCAUCACUUCCGUCUCUCUCCACGCCCUACAAACUCCGGUGAAUAACAGGGAAUGCUGAUGCUAUAUCGUAACUUACACCACGUGGUUCUGCCAUACCAAGAUAAUAAUUUUAAAAUGAUUUCUAAACCGUGCAUGCACGACAACAACCAAUCAAUGGUAUAAAAUGUAAUAUCAUUUUUAUAUUUCAAUUUUUUAUCUCUUUCCAUGUUCCACCGUGCAUGAUUCAUUCAUAUUAACAAAAUAAUUCUUUAUAUGGGUCCAAUUCAAUCAUUUAUGGUACUCUUUAUCAAGAUCUAACAAAAAUAUUGAUGCUGUUAAUUAUUUUGCAACCUGUCAAAAUAAACUGACUCUAGUUUCUAGGGAAAUUGAUCUUUUUCCUGCUUUUGGCCACAAUUUGCCGUAUGAAAUGGCACCUAAUCGGCUACUAACUGAUUACAAAAUCUCAGGCAAGCGGACAUGACUCGGUCCCUAGGCCCUAGUUAUCAGUUUAUGUGCAUUAGCUUUUCAAGAUUUGAAUCACAUGGUGCCAUGGGAUGCACGUUACCGGCUAUUAAAGGGUAAUUAAUUACGUACAAAUCUCAUAUCAACCCUACAUGACUGUCGGUCCCUACCUCCUACCAGUUUAUAUAUGUUCAACAUUAUCUUGGUAAGAUUUGAAAUCACAUGGUCAGCUGACUCCGAAUCGCAAAAAAUCAAUCCGUUUUUAAAAUAUAUUCUUAAAUGAUUAUUUGUCAAAGUACUUUUUGUUCUAAAAGCAGAGAAGUGCUUAAAAAAAAAUACAGUUUUCAAACAGCUGGUAGGGCUCUCUGCCUCUCUCACACAUCAAACCAUAUAGGGUCUGAUUCAUGGGUCGACGUCACCAAGGUCACUAUGGUUUUUACCAAAUAGAAAUUAACCAAUAUCAUAAAGCACUCACAAGAAUCUAUACAUUGUGGAUUGGGUCGUCAUUAUUCCGAGUGAUGGAGCCAUGUGUUCCACUUCCCAGAACAGUUGCUCAAUUAUGUUGAGUGGAGUGGGCAGGGCUUGUACGUCAUGUGUUUUAGUUUGAGCGAUGAAGACAAGGGGGACGUGUCAUCAUAAUUGGACUUCAUUUAAAUUUCAAAAUCCCUUUGGAAGAAAUUACAUAAUAAGUACAACCAGUAGUUACAGUGCUUUUUAGACUUGAUAAGCCUAUAUUUGGUGUCAAGGCUCAAAUUUCAAUUUGCUACCGCCAAGAUUCGAUCCAGGCAUAAGGCUUUGGGUUUAAGUUUGGUACCACUAAAUCAUCUUUUCUUUUGUUACUAUAUAUACAUAAUAAAUAUCUUAAAGUUCAUUAUUAAAAAAUAAUAUGUUAUUUCAAAAUUUAAUUAAUUAAUUAAUUAAUAUAUAAAAUCCACCAUUAUAAUUUUUUUAACAAGUAUUUUUUAAUAUCAUUAAUAUGAUAAUUAAAUUUAAAAAAUAUAAAUAUUAAAAAUUCAAAUAUGCAUCAUCAUUUAUUUUAUAUUAUUGAAUAUUUGAAUUAAAUAAAUUUUAAUUUUAAUAUUAAAUGUAUCAUCAUUAUUUCAUUAAUCUUAUUUUUAAAAAUGACUAUCACUUCACUUUUAAAUUUUUUAUAUUUAUCCUUUUAAUUUUGAAUGUUUUUAUUUCAAAAUAUUAAAAAUAUAAAUUUAUUCAAAAAAUAAUAAUAAUUAAGUUCAAGUAUUUUAUAAAUUAAAAUUAAUUUAAUCAUAUAAAUAAUAUAUUAUUAAUACUCAUAUAGCUUUACUUACCGAUAUUUUUUUUUAACUAUAUUUAUAUCAAUUAUAUUUUAAAAAAUAAUAAUUUUAAUAUAUAUGUUUUAUUUAUUUUAUCAUUUUUUUUUUAGUUUUUUUUAAAUAUUCUCAUAAAUUUUAAAUAAUUUUUAUCUUAUUAAUAUUUUUAUUAAAAUAUUCAUCAAUAUUUCUCUAAAUUUUUUUAUAUAUUUAUAAAAUCAAUAGCGAAUAUUCGUGUUAAUCACUAUUUCAAACUUGAGCUAAAACUCAUGUCCCACCUUGGACCACUCCACCUAAAAUAUCAAGCCAUGACAAGACAACAAAAAGGUCACAGGCCAUAGAAAAUAAUGUAAUCAUGCACGAUUUAAUCUCCAAUAAAUAUACAAGCCCAAAUCAACAAAGCCAGUAAACAGUAUCCAAAGCACAAUGAACAAAACCAAGUCUCCAAACAAUGUACUGUGAAGAUUUAACGGAAGAUAGAAAGAAAGACCUACCGCUUUUGAAAUGAUAGUGGAAAGAAUGGGUGUCGUAGUGGAGAGAUGGCGUCAGUGCCACCGGCGUUGAAGCGAAAAUAGCCACUUGUGGUGAACUUCACAAUGGAUGGUGAUGGCGGUGCUCACAGUGGGGUGAUGACAUGGGAGCCGUGGGUAUGGUGUGAAAAAGAGAGAGAUAAGAUAUGGCCGGAGGGGGGAACGCCGGUUUCGGAAAGGACUGUCGGCCGACAGUGGAGUCGUCGGUGGUGAGAAGGGCCGCCGUCGUGGGUAUGAUGGUGUGGAGAGAGAAGAGAAAUAGAGAGAGGGAAGAGAAAGGUGGCCUGUGGGUGUGAGGAAAAUGGAAAGAAGAAGAAAAGAGAGAAAAUGGGGAGGAAAUGAGGGUGAGUGGAAUUGUCGCGGGGAUCAGAG